GAGUUUGAUCCUGGCUCAGGAUGAACGCUAGCGAUAGGCUUAACACAUGCAAGUCGAGGGGCAGCAUGGUCUUAGCUUGCUAAGACUGAUGGCGACCGGCGCACGGGUGCGUAACGCGUAUGCAACUUGCCUCACAGAGGGGGAUAACCCGUCGAAAGACGGACUAAUACCGCGUACACUUACAGGAGGGCAUCCUUCGGUAAGGAAAUGAAUUUCGCUGUGAGAUAGGCAUGCGUCCCAUUAGCUAGUUGGUGAGGUAACGGCUCACCAAGGCGACGAUGGGUAGGGGAACUGAGAGGUUGAACCCCCACACUGGUACUGAGACACGGACCAGACUCCUACGGGAGGCAGCAGUGAGGAAUAUUGGUCAAUGGGCGAGAGCCUGAACCAGCCAAGUCGCGUGAAGGAUGACUGUCUUAUGGAUUGUAAACUUCUUUUGUAGGGGAAUAAAGAAUGGUACGUGUACCAUAGUGAAUGUACCCUACGAAUAAGCAUCGGCUAACUCCGUGCCAGCAGCCGCGGUAAUACGGAGGAUGCGAGCGUUAUCCGGAUUUAUUGGGUUUAAAGGGUGCGUAGGCGGCCUGUUAAGUCAGCGGUGAAAUCUAGGGGCUUAACUCCUAAAUUGCCAUUGAUACUGGUGGGCUUGAGUGUAGAUGAGGUAGGCGGAAUGCGUGGUGUAGCGGUGGAAUGCAUAGAUAUCACGCAGAACUCCAAUUGCGAAGGCAGCUUACUAAGGUACAACUGACGCUGAAGCACGAAAGCGUGGGUAUCAAACAGGAUUAGAUACCCUGGUAGUCCACGCAGUAAACGAUGAUAACUGGGCGUAUGCGAUAUACAGUAUGCUCCUAAGCGAAAGCGUUAAGUUAUCCACCUGGGGAGUACGCCGGCAACGGUGAAACUCAAAGGAAUUGACGGGGGCCCGCACAAGCGGUGGAGUAUGUGGUUUAAUUCGACGCAACGCGAAGAACCUUACCAGGGCUUGACAUUGAGUGAAAGGGCAAGAGAUUGUCCCCUUAUCUUCGGAUAACACGAAAACAGGUGGUGCAUGGCUGUCGUCAGCUCGUGUCGUGAGAUGUUGGGUUAAGUCCCGCAACGAGCGCAACCCCUAUAUUCUGUUGCCAACAGGUAAAGCUGGGAACUCAGGAUAGACUGCCGCGGAGAACGCGGAGGAAGGCGGGGAUGACGUCAAGUCAUCAUGCCCCAUAUGACCUGGGCUACACACGUACUACAAUGGGAUGUACAGAGGGCAGCGAAAGAGCGAUCUGGAGCGAACCCCAGAAAACAUCUCCCAGUUCGGAUUGCAGGCUGAAACCCGCCUGCAUGAAGAUGGAAUCGCUAGUAAUCGCAGGUCAGCAUACUGCGGUGAAUACGUUCCCGGGCCUUGCACACACCGCCCGUC
rnacentral:rRNA from 1 species